UCUUGCUCAGGGACACAUUGGUGGAUUUGAACCAAGGGCUCUCACACCAAAGGUGUACAAACAUAAAAUGUGAUCCAUGUUCUGCCUGGUUUCAUGAGAGCUGUGGUGAAGAGAAUGGUAUCUGUGAUGACGAUGGUUUAAUUUGCAAAGACUGUGUUUGAAAAAAACUUUCAUCACACACACACACACAAAUCAGUUAUCAGUUAUCAAUUUUGAAUAUGCAUUUUUGUAAUUUGCACAUUUUGUUCUAAAUAUAUUGUUCACACACACACACACACACACACACACACACACACAAACACACACGCAUACACACCCACACACACACACACAACUGACAUCAGUUCACUGACCUAUGUUGUUCCAAAAUUGACUUUUUUUAAUUGCACAUUUGAAUAUGUGGGUUUGCACCCAAAAUGUAUUUUUUUUUUAAUGGCACAUAUGGAUAUGUUUUUUUAAUGCAGUUUAAAUGUUAUGUGGCUAUAUAAGCAGUUGUUUUGAAAUUAAAAUUGAUGAUAAAUUACUAUUUCCCUUUGCAGUUUGAACGGACCAUUUUACCUGAACAGCUGGCCCAUUUUACCUUAAACUGCUCAUGCAAAAAAGUUGGCACAACUGAUGUUUCAAGAACUGUAGGGCCUUAAUAAUUAUAUUUUAUUACAUAAUUUCAACACAAAAUUAUCAAAAACAGUCAUUAUUAAUCAUAAAUACACAUGGAAUAGGCAUAUAUGGUAUUGUAUUAUUGUCCCAAACGAUUUACCAAAAAGUGGCCCAAUUUAGCUGAUAUCACCCUACUGAUGCUAUGGACUGUGGGAUUACUAACAGACUAUUAAAAAAAAUCUGUCUCUUUUUUUUCUUUAUUAAAAGUUGGUCUAGACAAGUACAUGAAUCAAAUGUUUUGCAAAUCCGCUCGAAAGAUCUGAUCUCAAAUGAUUCGCGACACGCGCUUCGGAGUCCCGAUCUGAAUCAAAUGUUUUGCGCACUCGCUCCGAAGCCCCGAUCAAAUGAUUCACGAAACGCGCUUCGGAGUCCCGAUCUGAAUCAAAUGUUUUGCCGACUCGCUCCGAGAUCUCAAGUUAUUUUCCAGUGAAAGUGUAAGCAUCUCAUCCCUAAAUAAGGGGAGUGUUAAUACUGAGAGCGUCCUCCGUGUUUCCUCAUGACGCGCUGGGGAAAAGGAACACCUGUGUGGCGUAAUUAGAGGGAAGCAUUAUGGAUGAUGUAUUUGUUGUCGCAGGAGGGUUUUUUUGGGUUGUUACUGAUGAGUUCCUUGCCAAAGCUGCCUUGCCGGGACGUGGGUUUAAGAUUGUUGUGCGAAUCGAUCGGGAGGGAUAUUUUGCUGGGGUUUUCCCCGUUUACGUUUGGCGGCCGCUGUUGAGUUCACUGAACGCGGAACCCACGUCCGGUAGCGGGUAAGAAAGCCAGCAGUACAUGUUGUUUUUAUUAUUGUGUUGGAUGUUAAUGUCUGUUCCUGCUGUGUUUGCCGGGGAGGCCCUGAUGUGUGUGAACCCAAUGAUCCCCCGGCGCUAUUUGUGUGUAAAGGGAGUGUGUGUGUGUGUGUGUGUGUGUGUGUGUGUGUGUGUGUGUGUGUGUGUGUGUGUAAGGGUUAUCCUUUCCCAUACGCCUCCGAUACAGUUGACGACGGCUAGAUAUUUAGCACGAGUAUGAUUGACGGUUUGUGGUGAUCAAUAUUUGAUAUGCAUUUAUUGGUGUGAUAUUUAUGACUAUUAGGUUUUGCAGUGUAAUGAACAAAAAAAAAAAAACUAAACUUAUUUAUCAUUUCAUAGUUUUCCCACUGACGAAAAUAAAAAAAGCAUUGAAAUUGGGCGACGACAGGAGGAGGCGACAAUUACUGUGAGGAAAGGUACUUUAGUGUGUGCUAAGCCCUUCACGGAGGAAGAGGUCCGUGUUUAACCGGAGUACGGUCGAUCUCGCACCGUGGGCUGUGUCUUCCAGGUUUGCGUGGAAAAGUUUGUGUUGCAGAGCAGUAAAUGUGGAGAUGUGCAGGAGCACGAUUACAACAGCCGUCCAGUCCCAGGUGAGUGUAAUGUGUUAACUAAAACAAUAACUUAUAUUAAAAGCUUAUGGGCAACUAUAGACAUUAAUCAAAUAUAGUAUGUUUUAUUUGUAUUGUUAGAUGUAACGUUAUACAUUUAAUGUAGCACAUGGUAGCAGUUAUGCUAACAGUCGAGCAGGUUAGUGAAGCGGUGUUUUUAUACUUUUGCCAUCACCCUUUUAUUCUGCUCUCUUUCUGGCUUAAGACAUUUAAAGUUAUCAAUAAAAUCCACAACAAUGUAGGAAAUACGAGCAGUUGAACAAACAUCUGUUGUACAAGCAGAAUUCAAAUUAUUUUAUAAUGGUUUGUAGGUUAUUUAACUUUGAAUUGAUGUUCUAAGUAACUGGUAUAUUAUUGCAUAAAUGUGAUAGUAACUUUCCAAAUUAAUGAGUUGUUUUUAUUAAAGUGUUAUGUUUAACACAAAAUAAUAUUUGAAUUGUUGUUUGCUUUGUGUUAAUUAAGUGCUCUUGCUGAGGAAUGGGAAAAAUAAAGGAGCUGGAAAAAACACCUGCUAGUGACAUCAGCAUCGUCUACACAGUAGUACUAGUAACAAUAUAACAUAAAUAACAAUAAAAUAUAAUUAAUUGAAGUAUGACUUAUUGGGGUAACUGUUUUUUCUUGUAAUAGAACACUAUAGAACUACAUUCACUAUAGAACAGGAACAUCAUUUGUUGGUAAAUUUCUUGCCUAUUUUCUUCCUAGCAAAAAAUGAAUGUAUAUGACAAAGUAGAAUUCAACAACUUUAGCCGUGAUCUCUGUGAUCAGCUCAUCAUCUCUCCAUACCCUCUCCACAUGGAAGUCACCUCUUGCACUUGUCACAAGAUCACACCAGGUUAACUAAGCCAGGAACCAUCAGCUGACCGGGGAAUGCCAAGUGUG
ensembl:lncRNA